AUUGAACGCUGGCGGCAGGCCUAACACAUGCAAGUCGAGCGGAUGAAGGGAGCUUGCUCCUGGAUUCAGUGGCGGACGGGUGAGUAAUGCCUAGGAAUCUGCCUGGUAGUGGGGGAUAACGUCCGGAAACGGGCGCUAAUACCGCAUACGUCCUGAGGGAGAAAGUGGGGGAUCUUCGGACCUCACGCUAUCAGAUGAGCCUAGGUCGGAUUAGCUAGUUGGUGGGGUAAAGGCCUACCAAGGCGACGAUCCGUAACUGGUCUGAGAGGAUGAUCAGUCACACUGGAACUGAGACACGGUCCAGACUCCUACGGGAGGCAGCAGUGGGGAAUAUUGGACAAUGGGCGAAAGCCUGAUCCAGCCAUGCCGCGUGUGUGAAGAAGGUCUUCGGAUUGUAAAGCACUUUAAGUUGGGAGGAAGGGCAGUAAGUUAAUACCUUGCUGUUUGGACGUUACCAACAGAAUAAGCACCGGCUAACUUCGU
rnacentral:rRNA from 1 species